AGAGUUUGAUCAUGGCUCAGAUUGAACGCUGGCGGCAUGCCUAACACAUGCAAGUCGAACGGUAACAGGCCUUCGGGCGCUGACGAGUGGCGGACGGGUGCGUAACGCGUGGGAAUCUGCCCAAUAGUGGGGGAUAACCCGGGGAAACUCGGGCUAAUACCGCAUACUCCCCAUGGGGGAAAGCGGGGGACCGCAAGGCCUCGCGCUAUUGGAUGAGCCCGCGUCCGAUUAGCUAGUUGGUGGGGUAAAGGCCUACCAAGGCGACGAUCGGUAGCUGGUCUGAGAGGACGACCAGCCACACUGGGACUGAGACACGGCCCAGACUUCUACAGGAGGCAGCAGUGGGGAAUAUUGGACAAUGGGGGAAACCCUGAUCCAGCAAUGCCGCGUGUGUGAAGAAGGCCUGCGGGUUGUAAAGCACUUUCGGCGGGAAAGAAAAGUCGCGCGUUAAUACCGUGCGGCCUUGACGUUACCCGCAAAAGAAGCACCGGCUAACUCCGUGCCAGCAGCCGCGGUAAUACGGAGGGUGCAAGCGUUAAUCGGAAUUACUGGGCGUAAAGAGCUCGUAGGUGGUUUGUCGCGUUGUUCGUGAAAACUCACAGCUUAACUGUGGGCGUGCGGGCGAUACGGGCAGACUAGAGUACUGCAGGGGAGACUGGAAUUCCUGGUGUAGCGGUGGAAUGCGCAGAUAUCAGGAGGAACACCGGUGGCGAAGGCGGGUCUCUGGGCAGUAACUGACGCUGAGGAGCGAAAGCGUGGGGAGCAAACAGGAUUAGAUACCCCGGUAGUCCAA
rnacentral:rRNA from 1 species